CUAGCAACUUAUAAAACAUGUGCAGAUAAUGCAGGUUGUUUUAACGGCGCUGUUGAAAGUUCAGUUAAUACUGUUUUGACAUCAGCUCAAUGUGUUGGCAGCUCAGGAUCCAGUGUAAAUACAUGUGACCUCCAAGCUCUUUUAAGUUGCACUUUGCCAACCACCGGCAAUAUUUGCGGCCAACUAGCAACUUAUAAAACAUGUGUAGAUAAUGCAGGUUGUUUUAGCGGGGCUGUUGAAAGUUCAUAUAAUGCUGCUUUGACAGCAGGUCAAUGUGUGAGCGACUCAGGAUCCAGUGUAGAUACUUGUGACACUCGAGCUCUUCUAAGUUGCACUUUGCCAAUCGCCGGUGGAAACAAUAUUUGCGGCUCACUAGCAACUUAUAAAACAUGUGUAGAUAAUGCAGGUUGUUUUACGCUUGUUGAAAGUACAUAUAAUGCUGUUUUGUCAACCGCUCAAUGUGUGAGCGACUCCGGAUCCAGUGUAAAUGCUUGUGACUCUCAAGCUCUUUCAAGUUGUACUUUUCCAAACCCUAGUGGAAACAAUUUUUGUGGUUCACUAGCAACGUAUAAAACAUGUGUAAGUAAUGUAGGCUGUUUUAACGGGGCUGUUGAAAGUACAUAUAACGCUGCUAUGGCAACCGCUCAAUGUGGAGCGUGCACAGCUAGAAUUAGUCUGUCUGUGAUGUUAGUCACUGCUGCCUUAUUCUUUCUUAAAACGUUGAUGUAAACACGUGAUUUUGAUACUCCCACAUUUUCAUGUGGGCGUAUAUUGUCGUCGCCCCUGUCCGUCCGUCCGUCCACAAUGUUUGUGAACACUCUACAGGUCACAAUUUUUAUCCGAUUUCAAUGAAAUUUGAAAUAUAGGUUUAUCACCCUAAGAUCUCGGUUCCUUUCGAUAUUGGCAUGUAUCGGAAUGUAAUUUCAUGGAUUAUGGCCUCUGAUUGUACGAAAAAUCACGUUUCUAGCUUGUGAACACUGUAGAGUUCUCAAUUUUGAUCCGAUUUUGAUGAAACUAGAAAUGCAUGUUUAUAACCCAAAGAUCUUGGUUCCUGUCGAUAUUUGCGCAUAUCGGAUCAUAACUUGAUGAAUUAUGACCCCUAAUUGUACGAAAGAUCGUUUUUUUAGCUUGUGGUCCCUCUAGAGGUCACAGUUAUUAUCUGAUUUACAAAAAGGUUCGAAUAUAUCACCGUUCCACCGUUCAAAAACUGACAGACAAAAUGGCCGCUCCUCUACGUAAAUAGUGUAAACAUCUGGUAUAUCAAUGUUGUGGACCCUCUAGAGGUCACAAUUUUGAUCCAAUUUUAAUGAAACUUGAAAUGCAUGUUUAUAACCCACAGAUCUUGGUUUCUGUCGAUAUUCGCACAUAUCUGAUCGUACCUUCCUGAAUUAUGGCCCUUGAUGUUACGAAAAAUCCCUUUUUGUUUAGCUUGUUCUCUAUUCAUCUCUUGCAAAAUGUAAUCAAAUGCUACUUGGCAGCCGUUGGUUUAAAUAAUGUACCUAUUUUAUUAACCUUUAUAUGCACAUGACGUAACGUGAAAUAAAAUGAA